rnacentral:rRNA from 1 species
GAUGGACGCUGGCGGCGUGCUUAACACAUGCAAGUCGAGCGAAGCAGUUAAGUUGAUUUCUUCGGAUUGAUUCUUAACUGACUGAGCGGCGGACGGGUGAGUAACGCGUGGGUGACCUGCCCCAUACCGGGGGAUAACAGCUGGAAACGGCUGCUAAUACCGCAUAAGCGCACAGAGCUGCAUGGCUCGGUGUGAAAAACUCCGGUGGUAUGGGAUGGGCCCGCGUCUGAUUAGGCAGUUGGCGGGGUAACGGCCCACCAAACCGACGAUCAGUAGCCGGCCUGAGAGGGCGACCGGCCACAUUGGGACUGAGACACGGCCCAAACUCCUACGGGAGGCAGCAGUGGGGAAUAUUGCACAAUGGGGGAAACCCUGAUGCAGCGACGCCGCGUGAGCGAAGAAGUAUUUCGGUAUGUAAAGCUCUAUCAGCAGGGAAGAUAAUGACGGUAC